rfam:Anolis carolinensis unplaced genomic scaffold chrTn0455, whole genome shotgun sequence.
AUCGCUGUCUUACCAGACAAAGUUAGAUCUUAGCUAUCCCCGUCUAAUACUGUCUGGUAAUGCCGUCGAU